rnacentral:lncRNA from 1 species
GAACAAAGACUUUUGUGGUCAGGUUGAUCGUGCCCCCCCGGGAUCAAUAACCUUCUGGAGUUGGUGUAUCGAUUGCUAAGACGCUGCCUCCUAUGCCAUAGUCAAAUCGUCAACAUCACCUCCUACCCAAAUCGAGAGUUAUCAAUCUCAUUGAAAGAUCAGGCCACCCCCGAGCCACAUCACAAAGAGUAUCACACAUCUGGCCUCUGCGCCGAGACGCAGAUAGCCAAAGUACUACACCACAAACUUAUUACAUCAAAAGAAAUAUAACGACUUUAAUUAGACUCAAUCCGGUGACUAGACCGUCACCCAUGAUGGCUAAAAAUGUCCCUGACCACUUGCUCAAACUUGCUGCACGCCAUCAAAGCCAGUUGGCGAUCCGUCGGCUUGAGUAGCGUAGACCAAGUACGGAGUCAAAGUGUGCAUGUAUAUAAGACCUGUGUAAGAGAAGUUAAUUUCUUGCAAUUAAAAAAUGAUCAUUUCUGCAUAGUCAAAUUGCCAACAUAAACCUGCAGCCCCAACCAAAAUAAGUGCUCUCAAUCUAUUAUUAACCCCACGUAAGCAAGACUCAAACAUAUGAGGAACAUCAUGUGGGGGAUAAAGAUUAUAAGCUAUUUGGUCGACUAUUGAUCAUACAGAUCGAGAAACAUGACACCGAAAAAAGAGGCGUGCAAUAGUCUCAUUCUGAUGACAGAAGCUGCACUUUGAGCUACUCUUUCAAUUCCGCUUUAGCAGGUUGUCUUUUCAGUUUGCACGUCUAUCUACAAAAUUACAAGAGAAAAGUAUGUUUUAGUCCCUCAAUUGACAAAGUUUAAAACGGUCUCUCAACUCAAACCUCAUUUGGUCUCUCAAUUGACAAAACCGGAUACUCUUAGUCCCUCUUCCAGUUGGCAUUGUUUUUUCAUAAAAUUAACAAAAUCCAUGUUAGAUGCCACGAUGUAAAUUGGGGGGAUAAAAGGUAUGGAAUUUCGAGUUCAGUGACCAUUUAUAUGAGGAAUGCCAUCGAGACAUCUGAUGUGAAAUUCGGGGAAAAACCACUCAACGCAGAGCCAAAACCAUUCCAAAUUCAGAAGGACAUGUAAAUUGACAGACCAAAUGUAUAUACUAUACGAUUUCGAGUUAAGGGAUCAUUUCUAUACUUUGCUGCCAAAUGAUGACAAAAAUACGCUUUUCUCAAAAAUUACCUAAUUAAGUGCUAGACCAAGUAUUAAUGCAACGUGCAUUCCUAUCUCUCUUCUUAGUGCACCGGUUGAUUUUAAUAUUGGCAACCAAAUUACACAUAAGCUAGUGUGGUCGCAACUAAUUUGGCCUGUUCCCAAAGCAAAUGGGUUUACAAACUGAAAUGUUUGGAAUUCUGGGACAUGUCUUACAAACUGAAAAGGAGAGAGUAUAAGGUCAAUCAUAAGUUUUGUACCACUUGUUUCAUUUUUAAGUUCUUGUUCUCACGCUUCCGAUUUAUGUACUACGUACAUUAUUACGUCAUUAAAACACAUCCAUCAACUACUUUAAGAGAUAUAGUAUGGCACGCGGUGCACAUCUUCCAAUCAAGGCAAUCGUGGGCUUGCUAAGGCCGAAUUUGCAGAUUUGCUCUCAAGAAGCCCAUCCGACUCCAGAACGGAAACCCCAGUCUUUUUUUUUCUAGUAAAUGACGCGGCGCCGCAGCACAGCACAGACAUGUGGGUCCCCGUCCAAAACCUCCGAUCCUUCAGCCCCCACCAACUCUUAAACCCGAAACAAGCCUUCUCCUUUCCCGUGCCGUGCUCCGUCUCCGCGAAAACCACGAGCGCAACGCCACCGCCAACGGGGCGCAGACUCAAGGUACCCUCCCCCUCCCCGCUCCCCCCGCUCCUCUCGAAUUCGUGUGCCGCUGUCUCGGAUUCGCUUUCUCUGGCCUACCGGGCGGUGCGGUUCCGGGUUCCAGCCGGGGAUUGCGGCGUUCCAUUUUGGGGGCGAUUUACGGGACCUCGGAUUAGUUCGAGACUCUGGUUCUCCAAGCAGAAACCCCAUUCGUUUGGUCUAAUCGGGGCUGACACCGUGGGUUUUUGUAUGUGUUGCAUAUCCCUAACCAUUGUUGUUCCAAUUGCCAUGGUGCGUGCUGCUGCUUGACAUCGAGCGGUGUUCGAGCUUGAUCAGCUUGCCGUGUGCUGCAAUUUAAACCUAAUCUUGCACUAUUUGUUCCUCCUUUUGGGGGGAUCCUUGCUGUUAUGUACUUGUUCAGGUCUCUAUGAGCAUUCCUAGCAUGCUUCUAUUGCGCAUCUGUGUAAAUAACUGUACUGCAUUCAUCCUUGUUCUGCCUGAGUUCUUGCUUUCGGAGUUCGGACUCUCUUCAAAUCAAAUGGAACUUAACUGGAACAUACUGCUGGCUGUAAUCCUUUAUUUCUAGUUCUGCUUCAUUAUUUUAUUUGUCUUGUCUAUCUGUUUUGAUGCCUCAGUGCUAGUGGGGAUAUCUGAGAAUGCACAGAAAAAUUUGACAGUUGCAUUUGUCUAUCUGUUUUGAUGCUUCAGUGCUAGUGGGAAUGGUCGACGUGCACAAAAAUUCCACAGAAAGAUGGGUUACUCAAAUGGUCAGGAAAUCUCAUGGACGAGAGGGAAAUGAAGUUAUGGGGACUGUCAUGGAACAAGGCUUUUCUCAUCUAGACUCUGCAGAUGAUACCAAUUGCUCUGCUGGUGAAAAUAGAUACCCUGGCUGGCCUGGAACCACUGUCUUUAGGAUGCUAAUUUCCUCGACAAAAGUCGGUGCGAUAAUUGGUCAGAAAGGAGAGAGGGUUAGAAGACUGUGCGAGGAAACAAAAGCCUCUGUCCGUGUAAUAGGUGGUCAUUUUGCUGCAGCAGAGCGGGUUGUAAGUUACCCACUGACCAUAUAUCUCAUUUCUUCGUUUGUACUUUCCUUAUUUGUCUAGAAUCUGGCUGAAUUUCUUACAAGAAUCUGUUGACGUGCAAUUGAAUAUUUAGAAUAGGUGUCUUUUGUACUUUAUUGCACCCAAAAAUAUCACGGUUCUUUGGAUAUACCAAAGUGUCUCAUGUUUACACUAAAUUUUGUAUGCCAUCAAACUUGGUUUACACGGUCAUCUUAACUAUAGUCCACAUGAGGUUAAUAGGUGCAUUAUCAUGGACAUGGACAUGAGGUUUAUAGAUACAUCAUCAUGGACCAUAGUUGCCAGGAAUCCGGGUUGUCCAGGUCGAGGAACGGGGUCGAGGGAUGUGGGCCAACACUUCUCCGGAUCAAGGUGCAACGAAGGGUAUACCUCUUUGGGUCACUAAUCUGGGAUGAUGGGUCGUGAAGCCAGGUCGACGAUACCAGUACAAUAGAGAUUUCUGCGUUGUGAAACUACAAGUACCCAUCUUCAGAAGUUACCAUGAAGCUACAAAUUCUGAUGAUCAGAGAUAAGCUGGGCUGGCCUAGAACAGUUCACAACUUCAGAACCCUAUCAUCUUCUUCUAGUCCCCAUCAUGAACACCACCGCCUAAGUUCUCCUCAAGGCUCCGACCACCAAUUCUCUCGUUCCUCCCCGAGCUAGAGCACAUAUGCUAGAUUGAAACAUUGGUUAACAUGCCAUUUAUGCCCUUCCUAGUAUAUAUGGUUUCCAUUUAUCAAAUAGAAACAACCAACCUAAUAUUAAAGUGAUUCUAUUUAUGCACUACCCCUCAACAAAUUUGUACAUGACAUGGCAAAUUUUGGAAGAGCUGAGGUGGAAAAAAUAGAUGGAGAAUCUUACCACUAAAUUCUAGAGACAACUCGAGCUACGGCCCAGGGAGCGAUUAAUCCUUAAGAAACUGGAUCUGUUUCUAGACGGUGUAGAGGAGCGCAAAGGCCAGCGUUACGGCAAUUGCCAACUCGGACAAAGCAGCGAGUACGAGAGCACCCAGCUGCUUCGGCCAGACUGAGCAAUUAGCGAUCGAUGGUCUCUGUUGUCUUCCUCUGUGAUUACCAUGUACAAGUUUGUGGAGACUGGAGUGCAUAAUGUUUACAAGUUCGCUGAGAUACGGAACAUGGUCAUGGACAAAACAGCAAUUAAUUAGGCAAUAUCUGGGGUUGCAGCAGCGUGGAGGCCUUGGAGGGCUGGUCCGGAUACCUUCCUCAUGGUCCAAUGUGGUGCUCACGUAACUAUUAGGAGCUAAUUUCUGUUGAAAAAAGAAUUACAGGUCCGGGUGCCUGUGCACCAGGGAGAGCUAACGUAGGUUUGCCCAUAAUCAUGAAUGUCGACAGGGUAUUUUCGCAGCAUGGUCUGUCAUUCCUCUAAUGUGAUUGCCACUGGCAAGGAUUUGACUUCUAAAAAUUCAGUGGUACAAUGUUUUAUGCUUAGUUUUCAAUUAUGUUGAAUCUUAGCUUGUUUUGUUUUUAUACCAGACAUGCUUUACUCCGUGUCCUCUCUUAUUGUAUAUCAGCACAAGUGGCAAUAUAAUUGUCCUACAAAAGACGGAUUUCAGUUCAUGGAGAGGAAGCAUUGCUUAUGUUUCAGUUUUCCUAAGAAGUUAUUUUGUUUUUUUUUCAUUUGAAGGUUUUGAUUUUUGCAAAGGAGCAACCAGAUGAGCCAAUACCUCCAGCUAUGGAUGCGCUACUAAGAGUAUAUCAGAACAUAGUUAAUGAUGAUGGUUUAGGCAUGGGGUCUGACAGUGCGGUUGUGACCCGUAUUCUUAUACCAAGUGAGCAGGCACUAAACCUUAUUGGCGAGCAGGGUUCGAUGAUAAAUCUUAUUGAGGAAGCUUCUCAAACCGACAUUCGUGUCCUUGGUAAGUUCCUUGCUCUGGCCUACCUCUAAACCCACUUUUCCACAGCCAUUGCUUUCUUCCAUUGAUAUUGGUGUUUGUCAUAAUAUACUAAUUUAUACAUGUGGGUCUUUGGAUGAUUCACACAUAGAGUUAAAGUACUAAAAAUCUCUCCUAAAAAAGUACUAAAAAUCUGUCAGUAAGGAACAUGAAUUCCAGCUUACUUAAGCACAAAGUUGCUGCAAUGAAAUUGACAUCUCAAAUGCAUGAUGCUAUGUUGCUCAAUCAUGACUAAACACCUGCUAUUGCGUUAGCAUAUUCUCUCAAACAUGGUUACACUAGUCAAUCCUAGGCUUAAAAUGCACUUCUGAAGUUUAGUGUUGCUGUAGUGAUGGUUUGUGUCUUAUUGAUCUAUAUCCGUGCUACUUUUUUCUCGUAUCAUUGUUAGGCUCGCAUCUCUAUUAAUUUUGGUUAGAAAAAAUCUUUCAAGUUGCUAGUGAAGGCACAAGCAGAGAAGUCAAUCAAUGUAUAAUUUGAUCUAGUUCAUUUACCUGCAAAGGGUUCGGAUAUAGUACAAUAUUCAUUUAAAAAAAUGAAGUCCUCAAAUUGGCCAUGCAAUCUCAUGUAUUCUUGGCAUAACUAAUUUCUUGUAUUUUUUGUAGUAUAUCCACUUGCAACAAAAUUAUUGCCCAUCAAUGACAAUUACGACAAUGGCACCAUUUAGGUAAAGAAGUGUAUCAUCUUUAAAAAAAUGAGAUGAAUCGCAAUUUACAUUGCAUCCAAGCAGGUUUCGGUUUUUAUGCCCUUAAGUUCACUUUUAUUUCAAACUAGAAUGUAUCUAUUUUUAUUGCUACGAAUUGCAUUCUAUCCUUACCAUCUGUUGAUUGGCAGUUUCAGUUUGCCAUUCUUUCAGUUGAUGUCCUUCGGUUUAUUGUCCCAGCUUUCAGUAUUUUUAGCCAGUAUGCCAUUACUCAUUACUUGCAUGGUUUGACUGUGUAGAUUGUAACUUGCCGCCAGCUGCGCUUGAUGAAGAUAGGAUUGUUGAAAUAUGGGGACAACCUACACGAGUGCGGAAGGCUUUAGAACUUGUUGCUCGUCAUUUGAGAAAGUAUCUGGUUGAUCGAAGUGUCAUCCCAUUAUUCGACCCUCAUGUAAGUAGUUCCACUGUUUUAAACAUUUCUCACUCAACGGGCAAUUAAAGUUAGUACAUUUUUCAAAACCUUCCAAUAUUUAAUCCUGAUAUCGUUUCUUCUUUAGGUGCCUAUGACGACGUCACACGUGGACACGUCCCCAUGUUACUACAGUGACCAUCCUGAGGGCCCUCUGCAAGCAAUUAGUUCAGUAUAUGCUGAAGAUCUUCACCGUCAACCUCCAUGGACUGAUAGUUGCUAUCCGAGGGGCAGGUAUCAUGUGGAAACUGACGUAACUGGGUACAGAUGGGAAGCACCUACAUGUUUUGGAAGAUAUCGAUCAGUUACGCCUCCAUGUAUGGGUGCAUAUAGACAAGAAACAUCUUCACCCAUGGAAGCAUAUCUAUCAGCUCCAAUGGGAUUAAGUUCGCACCACAACCUUACUUCAUAUGGAUCACAAUCAACUCCACCAAUUGGUACAUCAGCUGCUGCUGAAAGAAUACGCUCCCUUAUAUCAGUAUAUGGACAACAAACACAUCCAGUGGGGAAGGUAUAUCAAUCAGCCAACAUGGGAAACCAUCCACACUUGGAAACAUCUUUAUAUGGAAGUGAAUAUCAUCCAAGUAGGCUAUCUCCAUCAACUGCCACUAAUCUACCUCCAACUCAUGGUGUGUCUGAAGAUGGACUACAAGCAUCACCAUCCAUGAGGAUGCAUCCACCAGCCACUGUGGAAAACCUUCUGCACUGUCGUGUGUCUGCGUGUGGGCCAGAUGUACUGCUGCCUGUGGUUGUGCCUUCAUUAACUAGCAAAUCACCAGCAAUCACUUCGCAGGUCUGUAUGGUUUCUAUUGUACGAGUUUCUAUGCCUGUGCACAUAUUUGAGUUGUCUUGUGAUGGUGGAUUAUGUUAUGGACCCCGGUCCACAAUGGUUAAAUUGGGUAGGGUAAGGUCUGAAGACCAGGAUAGGGCACAGUCUGGCGGCAGGCUCUUCCUUGACAUGAUUAGAGAGGCUCUGAGGCUUUGGGAAACUUUUGAUUAUUGGUUGAUUGCUUAAAAAAUUUACACUCCAGUCCUUUAUAUAGGACGACUAACUUUAGUCUGUGGCACGAUGCGAUCCAUGUCUUCUUUCCUCCAUUAUUCGUGUUCAUUGAAUGACAACAUGAUUCAACCAAUCUUGUGGAUUUUCAUGGUUGUUGUAGGUUGGAAACCCCAGGUCGCUCAACAGCGACGCUCGGGCCAUCAUGGCGUUCACCAUCUAGAGAUCGUAACCCCUGCUGCAAGCCAUGGAUGGCGUGGCAGGAGUUAACUCUAAUACCAAAUUGUUAUGGACCAGGAUAGGGCAUCUCCCUUAACAAUUUGGCGGCAGGGCUCGUCCCUGACGCGACCAGAGAGUCUCUGAGGCUUUGGGAAACUUUUGGCGGAUGAAUUCCGACAGCCCAUUAUGGGACUGUCAGAAAGAGAUUUUGCUUCCUUUUUUAUCCUGCUUUUAAUUUCUAUCCUAAGCACUUUUACUUUUCCUAACUUUUGGUUUUCUGCACUUUCGGUUUUCUUAAGUUUUGAUUUUUUUACUUUAUAUUUCCCAUAAACUUUGAUCUUUUUUAUGGACUUUUAACUUUUUGGACUUACGAAGAAAAAGAAACACACACACGCACACACAAAACACGCACAACUUACACAUGGGUUGCCCGGCGUGGGAGGAGCCGUGGUGACGGGCACGUGGAGGAGCACAGCUGCCCGGCAGAGAGGAGCCAGAGCAGCACAGAUCCAGCCUCGACGAUGAAUAGGAGGGAGCUGCGAUGGUGGCUCGCGGAGGAGCACGAACACUCUGCUGAGGAGCUGCGGCAGCGAGAUCCGCCAUGACGACGAACGGGAUGGAGCUGCAGGGCGCAGAUCCGGGCCGGGAUCUCCAUGGUGGGGCGGCCUACCGGCCCUCCGGCCACGAUGACAAGCUGGGAAGGAGGACGUCCACGACGCGUGUGGGGGGAGGUUGGCCGGCCGAUAGGGAGCAGCAGUAGCGGCGCGAGGGGAGGAGCUUCGGUGUGGAAGAACUGCGGCUGUUGGCGUGGAGGAGUGGUGGCAGCACGCGGGAUGGAGAAAGAGGGGAAGAGUUGUGGGAAUAUGAAGGAGAUGGGG